rnacentral:sRNA from 1 species
CCGGACUCCGAAGGGGAGUAGCUGCCACAGUAAAGUCGUCAAUACGAGAGCCCGCUCUCCGGCUUUACUGGCAAUGCCGAACCGCAUUGUUAGCGAGACCUUUGUGCAUCCG